GUGCUGUGCUUAGAGGACUAGAGAGGGGCUGCCGUCUGCUGCCGGCUGGAGUCGGGGCGCUGGCUCCCUCUGGUUGGUGGUGGUGAUGGAGCUGUAGGAGGGCGGCCGGCAGUGGGAGCUUCUCCUGCGGGGCAGGAGGAAGAGUAGAAGGGAGAGGACCCCACGCAUGCUGGAGGCUGGAGCCUGUGCCAUGGCGGCUCGCCUCGCUGCGAUUGGUGGUGAAGUCGGACGCUGCACCUCGGCCAGAGUGGUAGAGAUGUCGUUGGGCUUUUCUGGCUUUGCCCUCCCAGCUGCCCCAAGCCAGGCUGGAGGAGGAGGAGAAGGAAGAGUCACCUGUGGUAAACUGGAGCCUGCAUAUGGUGUGGCUCUGCAGCUGGUCUCAUGAGAUUGGUGACAGUGACGGAGACUGCAGCUCGACUGGAGUGAAUUAUCAGGAGUCACCAGGUGCUGCGGCAGCUUCAGGAUAACUUGAGGGCGCAUCCUGGGGAAGAAACACCUCCUGUCCGUGGCGCUGACUGCUGAGGACAGAGCUUUGGUGUGGCUUCUCCAUGGCCCAGCUUCUUUGGAGCGU